GAUGAACGCUAGCUACAGGCUUAACACAUGCAAGUCGAGGGGCAGCAUGGUCUUAGCUUGCUAAGGCCGAUGGCGACCGGCGCACGGGUGAGUAACACGUAUCCAACCUGCCGUCUACUCUUGGACAGCCUUCUGAAAGGAAGAUUAAUACAAGAUGGCAUCAUGAGUUCACAUGUUCACAUGAUUAAAGGUAUUCCGGUAGACGAUGGGGAUGCGUUCCAUUAGAUAGUAGGCGGGGUAACGGCCCACCUAGUCUUCGAUGGAUAGGGGGUUCUGAGAGGAAGGUCCCCCACAUUGGAACUGAGACACGGUCCAAACUCCUACGGGAGGCAGCAGUGAGGAAUAUUGGUCAAUGGGCGAGAGCCUGAACCAGCCAAGUAGCGUGAAGGAUGACUGCCCUAUGGGUUGUAAACUUCUUUUAUAAAGG
rnacentral:rRNA from 1 species